rnacentral:rRNA from 1 species
AGAGUUUGAUCCUGGCUCAGGAUGAACGCUGGCGGCGUGCUUAACACAUGCAAGUCGAACGGAGUGCCUUCGGGUACUUAGUGGCGGACGGGUGAGUAACGCGUGAGAAUCUGCCUUUAGGUCGGGGACAACGACUGGAAACGGUCGCUAAUACCGGAUGUGCCGAGAGGUGAAAGGUUAAUCUGCCUGAAGAUGAGCUCGCGUCGGAUUAGCUAGUUGGUGGGGUAAGGGCCUACCAAGGCGACGAUCCGUAGCUGGUUUGAGAGGAUGACCAGCCACACUGGGACUGAGACACGGCCCAGACUCCUACGGGAGGCAGCAGUGGGGAAUUUUCCGCAAUGGGCGCAAGCCUGACGGAGCAACGCCGCGUGCGGGAGGAAGGCCUGUGGGUUGUAAACCGCUUUUCUCUGGGAAGAAUAGAUGACGGUACCAGAGGAAUCAGCAUCGGCUAACUCCGUGCCAGCAGCCGCGGUAAGACGGAGGAUGCAAGCGUUAUCCGGAAUUAUUGGGCGUAAAGCGUCCGCAGGUGGUUAUACAAGUCUGCCGUUAAAGCGUGGGGCUUAACUCCAUAAGGGCGGUGGAAACUGUAGGACUAGAGUGAGGUAGGGGUAGAGGGAAUUCCCGGUGUAGCGGUGUAAUGCGUAGAUAUCGGGAAGAACACCAGUGGCGAAAGCGCUCUACUGGGCCUUAACUGACACUGAGGGACGAAAGCUAGGGGAGCGAAAGGGAUUAGAUACCCCUGUAGUCCUAGCCGUAAACGAUGGAUACUAGGUGUUGUUCGUAUCGACCCGGACAGUGCCGUAGCUAACGCGUUAAGUAUCCCGCCUGGGGAGUACGCUCGCAAGAGUGAAACUCAAA